rnacentral:rRNA from 1 species
AGAACGAACGCUGGCGGCAGGCUUAACACAUGCAAGUCGAACGCCCCGCAAGGGGAGUGGCAGACGGGUGAGUAACGCGUGGGAAUCUACCCAGUUCUACGGAAUAACACAGGGAAACUUGUGCUAAUACCGUAUACGCCCUACGGGGGAAAGAUUUAUCGGUGCCAGAUGAGCCCGCGUAAGAUUAGCUAGUUGGUGGGGUAACGGCCUACCAAGGCGACGAUCUUUAGCUGGUCUGAGAGGAUGAUCAGCCACACUGGGACUGAGACACGGCCCAGACUCCUACGGGAGGCAGCAGUGGGGAAUAUUGGACAAUGGGCGAAAGCCUGAUCCAGCCAUGCCGCGUGAGUGAUGAAGGCCUUAGGGUUGUAAAGCUCUUUCAGUGGGGAAGAUAAUGACGGUACCACAGAAGAAGCCCGGCUAACUUCGUGCCAGCAGCCGC